rnacentral:tRNA from 1 species
UAGCUCAGUUGGUUCAGAGCAUCUGCCUUACAAGCAGAGGGUCGGGGGUUCGAAUCCCU